rnacentral:misc_RNA from 1 species
UUCUCGCCGUAGAUCAUGGCCACUGCUGCCGCCGCCACAGCGCAGUCGUCGCCACUGCUGAUUUAUCUAAACAGUGAUGUCGGGAUGGAGCGGCCGUACCGCAUCUCCGUGCCCGCCAGUGUCGACACCUUGGCGGAGCUCUGCCAGUACCUCACAGCACGCAUACCCCUCCGCCCCGGCGAAGACAACACCGGCCGAGGGUACCGAUUCCUCUACGCCGUAUCCGGCAAGCCGCUUUGGCGCGUAAAGGAGUGCAUCGAUGCAGGCACGAUUGUGCUGAGCGUGGGGCCUGGCUUCCUUGCACGGCGCCCGACAAGCAGCACGGCGGGGCCACCACCAGCAGGGUCUGCAAUCGACAUUACGCCAGACAGACCGGCAGCGGAGCCAGCUGCCGGGUCCGGCUCGGGGCGAAGGGGCUCACCGUCCGCUUCACCUCCGAUUAAGCAGCCAGAUGACGACAGGUGCGGCAUGCGGGGUGGCGGCGGCGGCCGCGCUAAUGGCGGCGCCGCGGACUACCCGGCCGGCAAUGCGCCGACAAGCAGCCACGCAGCCACUGCCACCGCUAUUCCCUCUGGUGGUGCGGCAGGGCAGCGUGGCAGUGUAGAUGCCGUCUGGCCACCCGAUCCAUCGGUGCGUCGUCCUUCGCAGGCGGAGGAAAGAGAGCGCUUCCUCAGCAUCACGCCGAAGACGGCGAUGCGGGGGCGCGGGCCCUCUGUUGGAGGGCCGAUGCCGUCGCAGCCGCAGACGAUACCGACGUCGAGUGGCUUCGGCGUCGUGUCUUCUGCCGCAGUGAGCUCCCCAGAGGCGCGUCUCUUCACCUCAGUGCCACCCGGGACUCUGCCGGUGCCGGCAAGGGCGUCAACUGCAUGGCCGGGCACUGGCGGCCUCAGUGGCUCGGCACCAUUUGCGCAGCCUGCAACCACCACUUCGACGAGUGCGGCGACGAUGCCGCGGGGCACGGUGUUCCUUGAGCACAAAGCAAGCCCACUGCCGCCCCGUCCGGCUUUUGCUCCGAUGCCCUCUCUCGCUGGGAGCCUCUCCGCUCUACCGCCGUGCCACCAGCCCCUCUCAGCCAUGUCCAUCUCCAGCAGCCUAGAGUACCUCCUCCUCCGCAAGUGGGCCGCCUAUCAGCGACUGCACAGCACCACUCCUAACGACCUUGUCGCUGGCGAAGCUCUCUCGCACCUGUUCAACUCCCUCGGCCGCAAGGUCGCGGCAAAUGGCGGUGCGCCGUGUAGGGUGCUCGUGAGCGGGCCGCCCCGCAGCGGCGUCUCCACCACAGCCUCGUUUCUGCUUCGUCACUACCUGCGCACGCUGCAGUUUCAACCAGAGCACCCGUUCUACAAUUCUGUGCUCCUCGCGCUUGAUUUUCGCCUGCUUUUCGGCCCGGAAACGGCGGCACCAGCAACGCAGCCGCCGCGGCUUCUGAAAGACCUUGGCGCACUCUACCAGCUCGUCGUACGCAGCGUGAUCGAUGCAGUGGUGGCGCAGCGGCCGGCGCUGCGGGAAGCAGGAGCGCUGUUAGCGCAGCUGUGGGACUUGAUCAUUAAGCCGAAUGUGCAGCCUCCCGCACCGCCGAACUUCACCACGUCCACACAGGCCGCGCUGUUCGUGGGCGUCGAUGUGCUUGCGAGUUGGACAAGACUCGCUGCACAGAUGUACCCCAUUCUGCAGGCGGCGUGCCGCACCCCCGAUGUGCUCCAGCUUCGGGACGCCGCGAUGGACCUCAUCUUCUACGCUAUCCCCGCCGAGCUCGCCUCCUCGCUGAAGUUCUCUGGCCUGUUUUACGCCCUGGACGGGCUAGAGCAGCUGACACGCUGCUACGCGCAUCGCGUGACACGGCCAGCCGGCGACCUCGGGCCGCUCCUGCAGGCCGUCACGGCAGACCCUCGCACCCACCUAGUCAUCGCGUGGCCGUCGACGCUCUCACCGCAGUCGAUGUACCUGCCAGGCCUCACAGCGCAUUUGUCUACCAUCGGCCUCGUGACGCGCGCUGCGCUGAGCGCGACACACUUCCCGCAAGUGCUGCGCUGUCGCGACAAGGAGUACCCACUGGAAGUCUUCCUCGGUUGUCCCGGUUAUCUAUCUAUCUUGUCGGCCUUGGCAAGGCCGUUCCGCAAGACGCUGUCGAUCCCUACCACGGCUUUCUCGGCGUACUAUCAGCAGAACUACGAAAAGAGCGGCGCGAGGGCGGCGGAGGGCUACGCGCUCCGCCUCGACAUGCCGGCGGCUGCCCGAGAGCUGGACGCGCUUCUGCAGUGUGUGCAGGCGCUGUCACUGCGUUGAUGGGAGCUCCACUUCUCCCGCACAUUUCUUGUAUCGCUUUUCCGUUUUGUAUGUAUUUGUGUUUGCGGAGCGGCGAACAACACCGGAAGGGAUGCUCAGGGAGCGCGAAAAGGACGGCGGAGAUUUGCCACUGCCAUCCCAUCUCUCUCUGUGCCUCUCCCUUCAGAUCCCUCGCCCUUCAGCACAGCGUGUGUGUCGCGCUCACUUUCUCCUGUUAGAUUGUCUGUCCUCACUUGCGUCUCCUUUCAAGCUCCUUGCGUCCUUGUAGAUCUCCGUCACGCACUGUCUUACGCAACCUCACUCCUUCGCGCCUAGAAUCGCAUAUGCGGGUGCGCGUGUGCGCGCUUCACCACCACCACAGCCCCCUCUCGUUGCUUACUGACGCCCGUCACGCCCUCUCUUCCGCGAAACACAACAAAGAGGUGCUUGACUGGCCCACGUGAAGAAUGUCGUCGCACCGCAUCUGCCCCUCAGGCCACCGCCAUCGAAGUGUCGGUGCAGAUAGGCGGUCUUUGCAACCCGUACCCAUGUUUUUACCCCAUCCCCCACACCACUACCACCACGAACUCGCGCUUCUCUCGCCGUAUCUCAUCUCGACCCUGUAUCACGCUGUGCCAUGUCGCCGCGGUCGACCCCGCAACGAAACGGCUCGCUUCACGGAACCACAAACACACGCACAUAUCCAG